GGAGUGGUGGUUGAAGAGGAGGGAGAGGGGGAAACAGACAGGGUUAAUGUGAGUAAAGGAGCGGCUGUGGGGGGGUGGAGGUUGGGGAGGACCCCACAGGUAAACUAACAAACAAACUGCAAAACACCAACGAGACGCCUGGAAAAAGACGUUCUGCCACACAUUAAUACUUUAAACCUGAUAAAAUGAAAUAAAGUGUGAAUGAACUCUGUUUCCAGGCGUUUUGCUGCUGCGUGUUCAGAGGAAUCGGUACGAAGCAUCAAACAGGAGCAGAGACGGAGACGUCACCGCCGGGUCUGAACCAGCGAAGCCAAAGCAGAGGAAGGUUUUAAGUGUGACACCACUGACCGUCACCAGGUGCCAUCGGUGACGUCCCAGACUCUGGUCGCCUAGGUAACCCUAUAAAAUACGUGUAGCAUAUGGAUGCUAGCUCUUAGCACGGGUGAUUGAAGUUGAGUUACCCCUCCUCCCCCAUCCAAACCUGUGGCCUCGAUUAGCAUUUAGCAUUUAACAAACGUCCAUUUCUUGUACCCGAUUUAUUUAUUAUACGACGCUGAUCCAUUUUCAGUGUUUAAUCCAGAUUAUUCUGGAGCAUUUACAUUGAUGCUUCCCUCGUAGACAGAUUCCAAUGACACGACGAGCUCCCCCCACAGAAAACCACAGUCCUUUGCUAAACUAGCCUCCGGUGCAGGAGCUACAGAGUCAGGACGUCAUGGACCAAGGUGUGCGGUGCAGAGGGUCACAUGCAAGACGACACACACAGAUAUGAAGACACACAAGAAGCCAUUCUGUUCCUGGAGGCUGUUUUUUUUUUAAAAAUAUAUUUAUAUAUAUAUAUGUGUGUGUGUGUGUGUGUGGUGAAGAUAGAGCCUGAUGUGUGGAGAAAAAGCCAAACCCACAAACAGCAACACCUGCUUCCCCCCAGAGAGGAGACGGCAGGAAGCGCCGAGCAGAGAGGACAACGGCCUCUGGAAACAUCUGGACGGAUUUAUUAUCAAAAACCCCUGAUAACACAGCUGAACUUUAACCCCUUUAAAUAUGAGCACGUAAUUAAUCUGAUGUGUUAAAAAAAUAAAUUAAUUAAAGAAAGAGCUCAGCAGACGACUUCUGUUAGAGCGUCACCUGUUAAUCAUGCUCAUGCACAAGAAGCAGCAGCAGGAAGAAGAAGAAGGGACGGAGCGAGAGGACGGAUCCAGCCUCCUGUGUCUGUGUCUACACGUGACACCAGCUAGGAAGCGACAGACACACAGGCCUUGAUAGUAACCGAUCACUUACAGAGCGAAGUCUCGUGGCUGAUGUUUUCGAACAGUAUGUUGAGGGUCUGGAGGAGCUGGACACAGACGUAGCG